UACGUAGGGUGCAAGCGUUAAUCGGAAUUACUGGGCGUAAAGCGUGCGCAGGCGGUUGUGCAAGACAGAUGUGAAAUCCCCGGGCUCAACCUGGGAAUUGCAUUUGUGACUGCACGGCUAGAGUGUGUCAGAGGGGGGUAGAAUCCACGUGUAGCAGUGAAAUGCGUAGAUAUGCGGAGGAACACCGAUGGCGAAGGCAAUCCCCUGGGCCUGCACUGACGCUCAUGCACGAAAGCGUGGGGAGCAAACAGG
rnacentral:rRNA from 1 species